CCUACGGGUGGCAGCAGUGAGGAAUAUUGGUCAAUGGACGAGAGUCUGAACCAGCCAAGUAGCGUGAAGGAUGACUGCCCUAUGGGUUGUAAACUUCUUUUAUAUGGGAAUAAAAUGUUCCACGUGUGGGAUUUUGUAUGUACCAUAUGAAUAAGGAUCGGCUAACUCCGUGCCAGCAGCCGCGGUAAUACGGAGGAUCCGAGCGUUAUCCGGAGUUAUUGGGUUUAACGGGAGCGUAGGUGGAUUGUUAAGUCAGUUGUGAAAGUUUGCGGCUCAACCGUAAAAUUGCAGUUGAAACUGGCAGUCUUGAGUACAGUAGAGGUGGGCGGAAUUCGUGGUGUAGCGGUGAAAUGCUUAGAUAUCACGAAGAACUCCGAUUGCGAAGGCAGUUCACUGGACUGCAACUGACACUGAGGCUCGAAAGUGUGGGUAUCAAACAGGAUUAGAUACCCCAGUAGUC
rnacentral:rRNA from 1 species